CCUACGGGUGGCAGCAGUCGAGAAUCAUUCACAAUGGGGGAAACCCUGAUGGUGCGACGCCGCGUGGGGGAAUGAAGGUCUUCGGAUUGUAAACCCCUGUCAUGUGGGAGCAAAUUAAAAAGAUAGUACCACAAGAGGAAGAGACGGCUAACUCUGUGCCAGCAGCCGCGGUAAUACAGAGGUCUCAAGCGUUGUUCGGAAUCACUGGGCGUAAAGCGUGCGUAGGCUGUUUCGUAAGUCGUGUGUGAAAGGCGCGGACUCAACCCGCGGACGGCACAUGAUACUGCGAGACUAGAGUAAUGGAGGGGGAACCGGAAUUCUCGGUGUAGCAGUGAAAUGCGUAGAGAUCGAGAGGAACACUCGUGGCGAAGGCGGGUUCCUGGACAUUAACUGACGCUGAGGCACGAAGGCCAGGGGAGCGAAAGGGAUUAGAUACCCCUGUAGUC
rnacentral:rRNA from 1 species